CUCCUACGGGAGGCAGCAGUGGGGAAUAUUGCGCAAUGGGCGAAAGCUUGACGCAGCAACGCCGCGUGAGUGAUGAAGGCCUUCGGGUCGUAAAGCUCUGUCGGGAGGGGCGAACACCCGCUGAGAACAAUACCUCAGCGGUUUGACGGUACCUCCAAAGGAAGCACCGGCUAACUCCGUGCCAGCAGCCGCGGUAAUACGGAGGGUGCAAGCGUUGUUCGGAAUUACUGGGCGUAAAGCGCGUGUAGGCGGACUUGGAAGUCGGGUGUGAAAGCCCCGGGCUUAGCUCGGGAAGUGCGCUCGAAACCACAAGUCUUGAGGUCCGGAGGGGAUCGGGGAAUUCCUGGUGUAGAGGUGAAAUUCGUAGAUAUCAGGAGGAACACCGGCGGCGAAGGCGCCGAUCUGGACGGAUUCUGACGCUGAGACGCGAAAGCGUGGGUAGCAAACAGGAUUAGAUACCCUGGUAGUCCACGCCGUAAACGAUGUGCACUAGGUGUCGGGGGUAUUGACCCCUCCGGUGCCGACGCUAACGCAUUAAGUGCACCGCCUGGGAAGUACGGCCGCAAGGUUGAAACUUAAAGGAAUUGACG
rnacentral:rRNA from 1 species